UGCCCAGCAACUGCUAUCCCUACCUUCGCGUGGCACUGGCUGGGUUACGAGCAACCUUAGAGAUGAUUGGAUAAUGGAUAACCAAUCCCGAUGAGAACUUUGGUCGUAGGCUGACAGGAAAGG
rnacentral:ribozyme from 1 species